rnacentral:rRNA from 1 species
UACGUAGGGUGCAAGCGUUGUCCGGAAUUAUUGGGCGUAAAGAGCUCGUAGGCGGUCUGUCGCGUCUGCUGUGAAAACUCAGGGCUUAACCCUGAGCUUGCAGUGGGUACGGGCAGACUAGAGUGCGGUAGGGGAGGCUGGAAUUCCUGGUGUAGCGGUGAAAUGCGCAGAUAUCAGGAGGGAACACCGGUGGCGAGGGCCGGGUCU